GUUGUAUGGUUAAGUGACUAAGCGUACACGGUGGAUGCCUUGGCAGUCAGAGGCGAUGAAAGACGUAGUAACUUGCGAUAAGCCCAGAUUAGGUAGUAACAACCAUUUGAGUCUGGGAUUUCUGAAUGGGGAAACCCACUUACAUAAGUAAGUAUCAUUAACUGAAUACAUAGGUUAAUGAGGCGAACCGGGGGAACUGAAACAUCUAAGUACCCCGAGGAAAAGAAAUCAACCGAGAUUCCGAAAGUAGCGGCGAGCGAAAUUGGACUAGCCCUUAAGCUUUACACGCGUUAGACGAACGGUCUGGAAAGUCCGGCGAUACAGGGUGAUAGCCCCGUAGUUGACGACGUGUGUUCAGUGAAAUCGAGUAGGGCGGGACACGUGAUAUCCUGUCUGAAUAUGGGGGGACCAUCCUCCAAGGCUAAAUACUACUGACUGACCGAUAGUGAACCAGUACCGUGAGGGAAAGGCGAAAAGAACCCCUGUGAGGGGAGUGAAAUAGAACCUGAAACC
rnacentral:rRNA from 1 species